rnacentral:snoRNA from 1 species
AAGCAGGAUUUAACUACAGUAUGGCUGCUCAGUGCUGUGUUGUCGUUCCCCCUGCUUAAAGCAAUUGUUUCUUAACUAUACCUGUCUGCUAGACAUGUAGCAGCCAGGGACGCUUGGUCUCAUACAU